rnacentral:lncRNA from 1 species
GGGAACCUAAGAGACCUGGCAGCCACCAGCAGCCUCUUACAGAGCAGGGCCUGGGAGGGUCAUCCUGGAAAGUGGCUGAGACUGGGUGUGGUGACUCCACACUGUGACCAAAGGCCUGAAACCAAAGCUGCCCCACCUUCAAGGACUGCAUGAGCAGGCGAGGAACACUCCACCUUCCACAGCUGGACCAUCUGGGCCCUUCAGAGGGAUGAAAUCUGCCACCUUAUUUGGGCUGAGACCUAACUGCUGUUGGCCUGCGCCUGGCAUUCCUGCUGUUCUAGGUCAAGCUUUCCAGAGACUGGAAGCCCCACAUGGUGCCCAGCAGGCGGGUCACCUCUGGGGACGCUGCCUCAGUGUUCUGAGACCACGCUUCCUGCUAGAAGUGGACAAACUGAGAAGUGACAGCUGGUUAUCAAUGGAAAAGACAAGUCACCAAAAUCUUCCACCACUAGAAAAGCCCUGCAGUUUAGAGGAAUCCAGUGAGACUCCAUUACAACUCAGUCAUGCCCCAGGGCAGUCCCCCUAUUUCUGAAGAGAAAAAUGCCUCCAAAUCAUCAAGUAAGGGCACUCUACCCAGUAUAAUUGGAUUAAUACAUCAAAAAGACAAGACAUACUAUGCAGAUUUCCACCAAAAUGGUUUUAAAAAAAGGGGGUGGGGGAGAUCCUAUUGUGGUGCAGCAGAAACAAAUCUGACUAGUAUCCAUGAAGAUACGGGUUCAAGCUUUGGCAUUGCCGUGAGCUGUGGUAUAGGCUGCAGACGUGGCUCAGAUCCUACAUUGCUAGGGUUGUGUAGGCCAGCAGCUGCAGCUCGGAUUCAACCCCUAGCCUGGGACUUUCCAUAGGCUGUGGUGUGGCCCUAAAAAGAAAAAAAGGAGUUCCCAUCGUGGCUCAGUGGUUAACGAAUCUGACUAGGAACCAUGAGGUUGCGGGUUUGAUCCCUGGCCUUUCUCAGCGGGUUAAGGAUCCGGUGUUGCCGUGAGCUGUGGUGUAGGUUGCAGAUGCGGCUCGGAUCCCGUGUUGCUGUGGCUCUGGUGUAGGCCAGUGGCUACAGCUCCUAUUCCACCCCUAGCCUGGGAACCUCCAUAUGCCGCGGGAGUGGCCCAAGAGAUGGCAAAAAGACAAACAAAAAACAAACAAAAAAAUGCUUAUCAGGGCUUGAAGGGAAAAAUCUCAUUUACGUUUCAGUUCCCUGGGGUGGAAAUCUCAUCCCCAGAAACUGCUGGAUCAGCAGGUAUGGGCAGCAUCACCCACCCAGCAAGGACAAGUGCUGGGUCUGUGCUCCGAGGGGCUGCAGAGCUUACUUGCUACUGUGGGACGACUGUCCCUCAGCUGGCGGUGGCUGAAGGAAAGAGCGAGGAGCACACCAUGGUCACUGGUGCCCACAGCAGCCGGCCUCAACUCAUGGCACCUGCUGCAACCCUGGAGAGGUCCUCCCCCCACUGUUCCCCAUGGCUGAGCACCACCCUGGACAUGCUGCUUCUCUGAAGAAGCAGCAGUGCCUGGAACUCACCAGCACGCUCCAGUUUUGUAGAACAGCUCAAGAACAGUAGCCACUUGAAGAUCGAGUUAAUACCCACAAGACAGAUUGCAGCCACCAUCACACACCUGGAACCUGGGGUGGAGAAGGAGAUGCUGUGUUAACAUGCAUGGUGAUGCCCACCCUGGCCGCUGGCUCCUCUGGGGCCUCACAGACCAGCUAGCUCUGAGGCAGAGGCACCAAAGUCCAGAGGAGAAGACCACCAGGAGUGGCAUGACACCAGUGCAUGAAGAGCUGGUGGCCGGGAUGUGGUGGAGCAGGGAGAGAGGGUUCUUGGGAGUGACAUACAUGUCCUGGCUGCAGAGAGUGGCCCCCAGGGACUCCCUGGCAGUGAGCCCAGUUGUGUGUGUGUGGGGGGGGGACACCUAGAGAAAAGCAUGCCCUUUGGGGCACAAGUGUAUAAGCCAUGGGCGGGGGAGGGAACACAGAGAGACAGGGCCUCUGCAUACAUGUCCCCAUGAGCUGGAUCCCCAGGCCUGUGUCCAAAAGCCAGGCCAGGAAUGGUUCAGGACCCAAGGCCCUGAUGAGAGGAAAAGUGUGACACCCAGCUGCCUCCAGGGACCGCCCCAGAGUCCAGCAUUGGCUCUGGUCAGCCUGAGGCCACAGAAACAGCUCUCCAGGGGAGCCCGGGCCGUCACGGGUGACGAGCUCCACUUUGCACCAGGCACCUACCAGAAAACAGAAAUCCAAAGCAAACACUUGUAAGCAGACCCUGCUUGUCCCAGGAUCUGAGAAUUUCGAAAUAAAGUGCAGAGACCCAGAACACAAUACAUUUUUACUACCCUUCCUGCAGGCAUGGCUGCCCUAGGCCAGAUGGAUUCCUGGGGCUGAGGAGGGAAGCCCAGGCCCAGCAAGUGGAUGCCAGCACCCUGUUCCCUGCUAACAUCUCUCUGGUUCUCUGUGCACCCUCCUGCCUGUGAGCACUGUGCAAAGCCUGGGAUGUCCGGCUGGCCUGAGUCCCCCCACCCCCAGGUGCUGCAGGGAGCCUGUUCCUGUGCUCACAUCACCUCUGGGAUCAGGGGAGGCUGGGGGAAAGAUCACCUUCUCAGGGUACAGCUGACUCUUUUCAGAUUAGGAAAAGACAAAUUUCCCCAGAAUUUCAUUAUACAAACAUUAAAAGAUGAGUAGAUAUGAUUCCAGUCUCCUAGUAAAAGUUGGGUUAUUUGAGGAUAGGAAAAUAAAUGCUCACCUCUGCAAACGAAAGCUAUCAGUUCACCCAACUUUUUCCCUGCAGUGUCUGCACUUGCCAAGAGCAGACCGGCAGCAGACCUGGGAGGGGGGCGGGGGAGCUCCUGGGCGGUCAGACCAGGGCUGCAUUUUUAGGAUGCCUGUCAUGUAAGGAAUCACACUGCUGACCAGAUUCCUCUCAGCCUCUGGGCUUAAGCUAAUCAGGAUGACUCAGGACCGCUGAUUUAAGAGUCCUGAGACCCUUGAUUCCUAGGAGCACUGAGCUGCUCUUUGCAAUUAUGACAUCAGGCAGAAGCACUGAUCUGCACACUUGGCUUACUGGGUAUGCAGAGAGACUCGGGGGCCAGAGUCUACACAGACACCCUGAGAACACAAAACACCAGAGGGAGGAGCUCCCGUUGUGGCUAGGUUCCCGUUGUGGUGGGUUCCACCCCCAGCUCCACUCAGUGGGUUAAGGAUCUGGUGUUCCCGUGAGCUGCGGUGUAGGUUCUAGAUGUGCCUGGGAUCUGGUGUUGUCCUAGCUGUGGCAUAGGCAGGCAGCUGCAGCUCUUAUUUGACCCCUAGCCUGAGAACUUCCAUAUGCUAUAAAGGAAAAAAAAAAAAGAAAGAAAAUGAAAAAAAACCAA